CACACCUUCUUCUCCUUCUCUUCUUUUUCUUUCUUUCUUUCCACUUCACUCCUUUUAUAGUUUUUUUCCCCCUUUUUCUAUCUAUCUGUCUAAUCUCUUUCUCUGUCUUGCUAACUCUUCUUUCUUUCUUUCAUCAUUUUAUUUUUCCCUUUUCUUUCUGCGUUUCUCAUAAGCACUGUUUCUCUUUUUCAUCUUCACAUUUUUAUCUCUAUCCAUCUAUUUAUAUUCUUUCCUAUCUGUUCCUCUUUUCUUGUCUUGCUAACUCUCUUUUCUUUCUGCUUUUCUCACUCUUAUCUUUUUGGAUCUUUCUCCCUCUAUCCAUUCAUAUAUAUUCCUUCCCAUCUCUCUGUCCCUUCUUUCCUGUCCCUUUUCUCUUUCGCAACCUCUGUCUGUCUCUCCUUAUAUAUUCCUUCCUUCCUCUCCCUCUCCUCUGUUUCCUUGCUUGUGCUCCUUUUUUCAUUUCUUUCUUCCCUUUUAUCACGCUGUGUUGUUUGCCCUUUUUCUGCCUAGUAGUUUUAUUUCUCCGGCUCUUCGCUCGGUUUUGGACGUGAUCGAGUCGUUCACGGAGAACACGCGGUGCGCUGAUGAAAGUCGUAGGAAAGCGUGAUCGUGUGUCAGUGCAGCGUGUUGAUUUUCCUGUAAAGUCGGCUUUUGAGGGGGAAAAUAAACCCUUCUUCUCUUC